GAUGAACGCUGGCGGCGUGCCUAAUACAUGCAAGUCGAGCGAACGGACGAGAAGCUUGCUUCUCUGAUGUUAGCGGCGGACGGGUGAGUAACACGUGGAUAACCUACCUAUAAGACUGGGAUAACUUCGGGAAACCGUAGCUAAUACCGGAUAAUAUUUUGAACCGCAUGGUUCAAAAGUGAAAGACGGUCUUGCUGUCACUUAUAGAUGGAUCCGCGCUGCAUUAGCUAGUUGGUAAGGUAACGGCUUACCAAGGCAACGAUGCAUAGCCGACCUGAGAGGGUGAUCGGCCACACUGGAACUGAGACACGGUCCAGACUCCUACGGGAGGCAGCAGUAGGGAAUCCUCCGCAAUGGGCGAAAGCCUGACGGAGCAAUGCCGCGUGAGUGAUGAAGGUCUUCGGAUCGUAAAACUCUGUUAUUAGGGAAGAACAUAUGUGUAAGUAACUGUGCACAUCUUGACGGUACCUAAUCAGAAGGCCACGGCUAACUACGUG
rnacentral:rRNA from 1 species